rnacentral:misc_RNA from 1 species
UCCGAGUUGACCCCGGCAGUCUCCCAUGAGUCCCCGCCAUUACGCGCUGGCAACAUGGAACGAGGGUUGCGCUCGUUGCGGGACUUAACCCGACAUCUCACGACACGAGCUGACGACAACCAUGCAGCACCUGUGUAUCGGCUCUCUUUCGAGCACCCCCGGAUCUCUCCAGGGUUCCGACCAUGUCAAGGGUAGGUAAGGUUUUUCGCGUUGCAUCGAAUUAAUCCACAUCAUCCACCGCUUGUGCGGGUCCCCGUCAAUUCCUUUGAGUUUUAACCUUGCGGCCGUACUCCCCAGGCGGAUAACUUAAUGCGUUAGCUGCGCCACCAAAACUCUAAGAGCCCUGACAGCUAGUUAUCAUCGUUUACGGCGUGGACUAC